rnacentral:misc_RNA from 1 species
GGAAUUUGUUAACCUAUCUCCAAGGCUUCCGCCCACUCCAUCUUCCUACAGGCGGAUCGCUGGUCUCGCAUCACCUACAGCUCAACCCACAACCGAUGUCCCUAAUGGUGAUGGGACUUCUCAUAAUUAAAUUUCCUUCUAAUGCUUUUAGCCUAGUGGAUACUUAAGUGAAUGUAAAUAGCUAGCAUGUUCUUUGUGUCACUUCAGCCUUUCUGGAAUGCUAAUAACAUCAAUCUUAGUUGCAUCCGAUUGCGUUUCAUAAUUACUAGAUUGCUUUUUAAUCCACCCACUUGAAACAUCUGCCAUGGUUGUCAAGAAUCAAGAUUUUGGUGCUCAGGUAGACAAUGUGAUUUUACUCUAAAGUCAUAAUGUCAACUUCCUGCCUCAGUCACAUGUU